GCAGAAGGAAGUGCUGGCUUUCUGGGACACAGCCACCCACAGGCUCCUCCAGACACCUUCUCAACAGCAAGGCCAUGGCCAGGGGAAACCUGACAUUUCAUCCUCCUCCCAUCAUUCACAGCACAGGCUUUUCAGAGUCUAUGCUGUGAUGGAGAGGCAGGAGGCAGGACUCAACUGAGCAGCACUGUGAAGUUCAGAUUUGCUACUGCACAUCAACCAAGUGAUACUGGAGCUGCGGCACAGCAGCCCUGAUGGAACAGGACAACAGCCUCCCUGCAGCUGCCCAAGCUCACCCAUGGCCACAAUGCCACAACAGCAUCAUGGCUUUGCAAGAAGUCACAAGAGAAGGUGAGUGUUCAAGCUUCAACAUCUUUAUUAAAGCAGACAGCAGGUAAUCCAGAACCCCACAAGAGAAACUGAGUGUUCAAACUUCAAAAACACUUUAUUCAAGCAAACAGCAGGUAAAUCCAGAAACAGUUUAGCACCCCACAGCAGUCAGAUGCCAGCAGUGAGCAAGGCAUCCCAACAUCCCAGUAGUCACAGCUGUGCUGCCUAGCCAGGAGACAAGCUUUGUCUUUUGUCUCUCUCUGCUGGCUAUAAAGCACAAGAUUAAGUUUGCAAUCAAGAUGCAUGCAAACACCACAGUGAGGACUCCCAGACAGCAGCUCUUAGAUGCCAUCCAGAAAAACGUCACUAGAAACUAGAAUGUCAGAGAAAACAUUAACACAGACACGGCCGUAGGAAGUUAGAGAGUUAAGAGAAGUUAAGGAAGAACAACAAGUUGCACAAGCCUGGGCAUCAGGUUUCUAGAGACCGAUGAAAAUCCAG